rnacentral:rRNA from 1 species
UACGUAGGGUGCGAGCGUUAAUCGGAAUUACUGGGCGUAAAGCGUGCGCAGGCGGUUUGCUAAGACCGAUGUGAAAUCCCCGGGCUUAACCUGGGAACUGCAUUGGUGACUGGCAAGCUAGAGUGUGGCAGAGGGGGGUAGAAUUCCACGUGUAGCAGUGAAAUGCGUAGAGAUGUGGAGGAAUACCGAUGGCGAAGGCAGCCCCCUGGGCCAACACUGACGCUCAUGCACGAAAGCGUGGGGAGCAAACAGG